rnacentral:lncRNA from 1 species
CCCCUGAUGCAAAAAGCAUUCUGGAGCAACGCUUGGUGAGGUGCUGGCUGCUGCUGGGAGGCUCUCCUCCCCAUCCCAUCAACGAUGCUUCCUCCAAAAAAAAAUAAAUUAAAAAAAAGGAUCUUGGAUCACCCACUGGAAAAAGGACAGGACACGGACGUGGUACCCAAAACAUCACAGUGAACAACACUCAGACCCCCUGGGCUGCUCAUGGCAAAGCCCCCCCCAGCUGCUCGCUUCUGGAAGAAAAGUGUCCUCCUGUGGGGUAAACGUCCCCAUCCUUGCCCUGCGUGGGAAUGAAGUGUCCCUUUGUCCCCACAGGUCCCCACGUGGCUCCUCUCCUGCAGGCGAUGCUCUCGCUGCAUGGCACAAGGGCAGCGAUGCGGAUGUUCCGCAGCGUCCUCACCCUACUGCUCAGUCCCCCAGCAGGGUUAGGACGUGUCCUUCAGCUCCGGGCUUUGGGGCUGUGGUGGGGGAACUUCUGCAGAUGGUGACUGCAUCUCCUGGGAGCUGCCUGUGGUGCGAGGAAGGCGGAUGUGUCCAGAGGAGGAUGGAGCGUGAGGACAAGAAUUUCUUCCUGCAACUUCCCCCUUCUGCCACGCUGCAGUUGUAAAGAAGGUGAUCUAAUGGGAGCAGUUCCAAGCUCCCUCUACACACGGCUCUCCAGCAGCCCCUCAUACUGGAGCUGACGGACCUGACCUGUGGAAACGCUUAUGGGUUCCUAC